rnacentral:rRNA from 1 species
CCUACGGGCGGCAGCAGUGGGGAAUAUUGCGCAAUGGGGGGAACCCUGACGCAGCCAUGCCGCGUGAAUGAAGAAGGCCUUCGGGAUGUAAAGUUCUUUCGGUAUUGAGGAAGGGAUGUGUGCUAAUAGUACACAUCAUUGACGUUAAAUACAGAAGAAGCACCGGCUAACACCGUGCCAGCAGCCGCGGUAAUACGGAGGGUGCGAGCGUUAAUCGGAAUAACUGGGCGUAAAGGGCACGCAGGCGGUUAUUUAAGUGAGGUGUGAAAGCCCCGGGCUUAACCUGGGAAUUGCAUUUCAGACUGGGUAACUAGAGUACUUUAGGGAGGGGUAGAAUUCCACGUGUAGCGGUGAAAUGCGUAGAGAUGUGGAGGAAUACCGAAGGCGAAGGCAGCCCCUUGGGAAUGUACUGACGCUCAUGUGCGAAAGCGUGGGGAGCAAACAGGAUUAGAUACCCUUGUAGUC